rnacentral:rRNA from 1 species
CCUACGGGUGGCAGCAGUCGAGAAUCAUUCACAAUGGGGGAAACCCUGAUGGUGCGACGCCGCGUGGGGGAAUGAAGGUCUUCGGAUUGUAAACCCCUGUCAUGUGGGAGCAAAUUAAAAAGAUAGUACCACAAGAGGAAGAGACGGCUAACUCUGUGCCAGCAGCCGCGGUAAUACAGAGGUCUCAAGCGUUGUUCGGAAUCACUGGGCGUAAAGCGUGCGUAGGCUGUUUCGUAGGUCGUGUGUGAAAGGCGCGGGCUCAACCCGCGGACGGCACAUGAUACUGCGAGACGAGAGGAAUGGAGGGGGAACCGGAAUUCUCGGUGUAGCAGUGAAAUGCGUAGAUAUCGAGAGGAACACUCGUGGCGAAGGCGGGUUCCUGGACAUUAACUGACGCUGAGGCACGAAGGCCAGGGGAGCGAAAGGGAUUAGAUACCCGUGUAGU